GAGAAUUUUGAAAAAAAAUUCAUAUCACCGUAUAGGUGUCGGUAUCGGUGUGGUAUAUCGGUAUCGUGUCCCUGGAGCAGGCUUCAUGGAUAGUCACACUUCCAAUUCAUCAUCCAUCCGCAUCACGUGUUGUUCUGUCUAUAAUAAACCCUUCCUUACUUGCCAUCAUAAUUGCUUUCUUCGGCCAACCACCGUCCAUGACUAUCUUCUAGUUCUGUUCUACUACCAAGGGUAAACCAUGAAAAGAAAAAAGUAUUCAAUUCCCUCUCCAAGGGUUAGCCAAAGAUGCAAUAAAGUUGUUGAUGAAACAGAAAAUCAUGAACUUUGCCCUUACUUUGCUAAUAUUCCAUCUCACCUUGUUGUGCAAAUUUUGCUUCAACUUCCGAUUAAGUCUCUUCUCAUUUGUAAAUGUGUCUGCAAAAUGUGGAAAGCACUCAUUUCAGAACCACAUUUUGUUAAAUUGCACUUUCACAAAACACCCGUUAGUCUCAUGAUUCGGACCAAAGACCAUAGAGUGUCAAGAACCCUACACCUUCUUGAAUGCGAGCCUGAGAAGUUUGAGAUUGGAAGUGACAAUCAUGUCAAGCUUCAGCCUAUAUUCAAGCUUCCUCUUCGUGAUGCCAAAUCGUUAAGGGAGAAAAUGAUGAAUAAACCCAAGCGCCCUGUUCGUGCUGUGAGAUUAGUUUUGGAGAAAAACACUGACAAGAACAGUGAUGGGGAUAGUCAAAUGCUUAAUAUUGAUUCCAAACCAUAUUAUGAUAAGUUUGGCGUUGUGAAUUCUUGCAAUGGCUUGCUUUGUUUGUGUUGUCCAUUUGAAGGAAACCCUUUAGUGAUUAGCAAUCCAGUCACUGGUGAGUUUAUAAGACUUCCUAAAUCUGCUAACGCUCCUAGUCGAGUACGUAAGCUAGAACCAGUUGGUUUUGGUUUUGGUUUCCAACCUAAAACUAAUGAAUAUAUGGUGAUACAAAUUUGGAAUAAAUAUGUUAGACGUUCCUAUACCCGGGUGUUGGAGCGUAUGAUAUUUGAGAUAAACACAGUUGGAACACUAUCAUGGAGAAAUGUUGAAGUGGAUCCUCAAGUUUCUAAUUCGACGCUUAAGUAUCCCACUUGUUUGAAUGGCGUGAUUCAUUGGAUCAGAUUUGAGGGUCAAACUCAGAAUAGGUCUAUAUUGUGUUUUUGUUUAGAAAGUGAGAGGUUGCAAUCAUUUCCUUCUCCUCCACAUGUGUUUAGAAAUCAUCAUACAGUUUCUCGUAAUGAGCCUAUCAGCAUGGGAGAAUCAAGGGGAUUGCUUUACAUUUGCGAUAGAUCUUCUUUCCAUGAUGUUACAAUGUGGGUUAUGAAAGAAUAUGGCAUUGGAGAAUCAUGGACUAAGGUUUACAACAUUGAUACUUCGAUCAGUGCUUUGGGCAGACCGGAUCGGUGGCGUUGUGGUUUAUGUUGGCCGCUAAAACACUUUGAAGAUGGUGCUUCCUUGCUGUUAUAUCAUUCCUGCAAGUGUCUUAUCUACUUCGAACCUGAGAAAUAUGGAUUCAAAGUUUUUCGAAUUCAUGGGACUGAUUCAGAACAAGUUCAAAUAAUUCCACACACUCCAAGUCUAGUCUCAUUAAAAGAUGUUGUGAAAGGAGACAAUAUUGAGGUGCUGAAUAUCUACUCAAUGUGUGCAAAUGUUAAAUUGCGCGAAGAAAAUGAAGUUCUUUCCUUGUCUCAACAACUUGUUUGAGACUUGGUAAGUACACGUUCUUCAUCAUCUUAUUGUAAUUUGAUUUAUAUAUCUUCCUCAAUUUGAUGGUGAAGAAUUCGGUGAUGAACUUGUUUCUUAAGAAGAGUGCACAAAUUUUAAAGUCUGUGAAGAAAAUGAAGAUCCUGAAUGAUGGCUUGACAAGUGCUCUCCUCCUCCUCCUCAGGUGGUGGGCCUUUUGAUGAAGAGUACAACUCCAAAGUUAUGAUUUCGCUAGUUGUGAUAUUUGAAAAAAUACAUAUCUCGUUUUAUGAUGCAAAAUGAUGUCUUUUUGUAAUCUUUAAUCCUAGAUGUUCAUUAGUCGUUAUCUAUGGUUUUACAAGACUGGCAUGUUAUCUUGUUGGCUUAGUUUAUAAUGUUAGACUUCAUUUAUACACUUCA